rnacentral:rRNA from 1 species
GAUGAACGCUGGCGGCGUGCCUAAUACAUGCAAGUCGAGCGAACAGACGAGGAGCUUGCUCCUCUGACGUUAGCGGCGGACGGGUGAGUAACACGUGGAUAACCUACCUAUAAGACUGGGAUAACUUCGGGAAACCGGAGCUAAUACCGGAUAACAUGUUGAACCGCAUGGUUCAACAGUGAAAGACGGUUUUGCUGUCACUUAUAGAUGGAUCCGCGUCGCAUUAGCUAGUUGGUAAGGUAACGGCUUACCAAGGCAACGAUGCGUAGCCGACCUGAGAGGGUGAUCGGCCACACUGGAACUGAGACACGGUCCAGACUCCUACGGGAGGCAGCAGUAGGGAAUCUUCCGCAAUGGGCGAAAGCCUGACGGAGCAACGCCGCGUGAGUGAAGAAGGUCUUCGGAUCGUAAAACGCUGUUAUUAGGGAAGAACAAAUGUGUAAGUAACUAUGCACGUCUUGACGGUACCUAAUCAGAAAGCCACGGCGAACUACGU